AAGAAAAUUAGAGGUAAAACUCCACUGCCUCUAAUCUGCAGAAGUGGAAUCGUUUCUUCAGUUGCAGGUUUCAUAGCACUUGCCUGGCCCUCAGCAGGGAAGCCACCAAGCUUACUGUGCUGCUCCGGGGUCCUCACAGGCUGGUGUGGAACCUCUAGCAGAGAUGCUGGGGAGAUCCAUAUUUCACUUUCAAGAAUAGACACACUAUUUCCUUUUGGCGUAGACAAAGGCUCUUCCAGAUGUGAAGUUUCUUUCCACUAUGAAAUGCAAAUAUUUAAUCCUGACAUAUACAGAAACCAAGCAGGAAUAAAACUUUAAUUUCUAAGAAUAUGACAUGGUUUGUAGAAAUAUUUCCUAACUGUAUUUUAACACUCAAGAUUUCAUUCCCACAGUUUUCCUUUUCCCUUAGGAAUUUUAUCUUCAAAUUCAUAUAAUGUUAUUGUAACAUUCAAAUGACAUCUGAUGUUUUUGUUCCCUACAAUAUGUAUGUGAAUAUGUGAAAAUAUACAUAGAGUAAAAAGUAUCAUUAAAGGAUAAUGAGCCAUAAUUCAAAUUUGCCUUUCUCUUGUUUAUCUUAAAUGAGAUUUUUUUGUUUUCUUUAAAGAAAGGACAGAAUCUGAGUCGAGAUUAUUCAUAGCGAUCUGAAGGCAGCAUUUUGCCUUUGGUGAUUGCCUGGUUUUCUUUAAGAUAGCGCACAUACAUACUCUUGGCUUCCAGGGGGUGCUAGUGGUAAAGAACCCACCUGCCAAUGCAAGAGACAGAAGAGGCAUGAAUUUGAUCCCUGGGUCCAGAAAAGCCUCUGGAGAUGGGCAUGGCAAUCCUUUGAGUAUUCUUGCCUGGAGAAUUCCAUGGACAGAGGAACCUGGCAGGCUAUGGUCC
rnacentral:lncRNA from 1 species